UGCCAAACCAUCAACAGAACAAAUCCAAACCCUCGAACAAGAACCCAAACCUGAUCCGCAGCUCAUAUCAUAACCCCCAAAAUCCAUGCCACACACGAUCAACCCCUACUAAUCUCGCAAGAACACCAUACAAUCUAUAAACCCUCGGACUUGGCAUAUAAUAUAUCGGAAAGGAGAUUUUUGGAGGUACCCAUUGUAGUCAUCGGUAAGACUAAACAGAACCAAUCAGAUUGGAAGAGGCGGGACAAGGAAGAAGGAAUUUUCCUACAUGAUAGUGUCUUUUGUCAGACCUAUCUUCUUCUGCAACCUAUUUCAAGAACAGAAUACACUCAUAUAAAAUUUUCUUAAAUGAAUAAGAAUAUAAAGACUUGUCUCAUUUUCUAUACCAUCUUCUCUAUAUGGCGCAAGAUUUGGAUGAUUUCUGAAAACUCUGGCCUCAAAAAAGGGUC
rnacentral:lncRNA from 1 species